rnacentral:rRNA from 1 species
AUUGAACGCUGGCGGAAUGCUUUACACAUGCAAGUCGAACGGUAGAGGGGGCAACCCCUUGAGAGUGGCGAACGGGUGAGUAAUAUAUCGGAACGUGCCCAGUCGUGGGGAUAACGUAGCGAAAGCUACGCUAAUACCGCAUACGAUCUAUGGAUGAAAGCGGGGGAUCGCAAGACCUCGCGCGAUUGGAGCGGCCGAUAUCAGAUUAGGUAGUUGGUGAGGUAAAGGCUCACCAAGCCGACGAUCUGUAGCUGGUCUGAGAGGACGACCAGCCACACUGGGACUGAGACACGGCCCAGACUCCUACGGGAGGCAGCAGUGGGGAAUUUUGGGACAAUGGGCGCAAGCCUGAUCCAGCAAUGCCGCGUGCAGGAUGAAGGCCUU